GGAUAGCUCAGCUGGUUAGAGCGUGGUGCUGAUGAUACCAAGGUCGCAGGUUUGAUCCCCAUAUGGGACA
rnacentral:tRNA from 1 species